rnacentral:rRNA from 1 species
UACGUAGGGGCCUAGCGUUGUCCGGAUUUAUUGGGCGUAAAGAGCUCGUAGGCGGUUUGGUGAGUCGGGUGUGAAAUCUCCACGCUCAACGUGGAGGGGCCACCCGAUACUGCCAUGACUAGAGUCCGGUAGAGGAGUGUGGAAUUCCCGGUGUAGCGGUGAAAUGCGCAGAUAUCGGGAGGAACACCCGUAGCGAAGGCGGCACUCUGGGCCGGUACUGACGCUGAGGAGCGAAAGCGUGGGGAGCAAACAGG